rnacentral:rRNA from 1 species
UACGUAGGGGGCAAGCGUUGUCCGGAAUCAUUGGGCGUAAAGAGCGUGUAGGCGGCCCGGUAAGUCCGCUGUGAAAGUCCAGGGCUCAACCCUGGGAUGCCGGUGGAUACUGUCGGGCUCGAGUCCGGAAGAGGAGUGUGGAGUUCCUGGUGUAGCGGUGAAAUGCGCAGAUAUCAGGAGGAACACCGGUGGCGAAGGCGGGACUCUGGGCCGAUGACUGACGCUGAGGAGCGAAAGCGUGGGGAGCAAACAGG